UUCCAUGUUUUGCUGUUGCUGUAGCAUCUUAUUCUCAUGGAGGUACCCAACUAAAAAUAUCAAUCUCCUGGAUGAAGCCCACAAUUCCUGUAUGAACUCUGGAGGAAAAGAAAACUGCUCUUGAAGAACUGGUGUGUCAAGCAUAAGUGUCUGCUGUAGACUGCCAAACUAGAGCAAAUGAAAUGGAUUGUCUUCCUAUAGGAGAAGCCCAUGAAAUUUAAAUAGGUGAUAAGCUAAGGUCUGGAUCAGAUGGGAAUGGUGUUUGAGAUGCUGCUUCUUCUAUGAAGAUACC
rnacentral:lncRNA from 1 species